GUUGAACGCUGGCGGCAGGCCUAACACAUGCAAGUCGAACGGUAACAGGAAGACGCUUGCUUCUUUGCUGACGAGUGGCGGACGGGUGGGUCAUGUCUAGGAAACUGCCUGAUGGCGGGGGAUAACUACUGGAAACGGUAGCUAAUACCGCAUAACGUCGCAAGCCCAAAGAGGGGGACCUUCGGGCCUCUUGCCAUCGGCUGUGCCCCGAUGGGAUUAGCUAGUAGGUGGGGUAAAGGCUCACCUAGGCGACGAUCCGUAGCUGGUCUGAGAGGAUGACCAGCCACACUGGAACUGAGACACGGUCCAGACUCCUACGGGAGGCAGCAGUGGGGAAUAUUGCACAAUGGGCGCAAGCCUGAUGCAGCCAUGCCGCGUGUAUGAAGAAGGCCUUCGGGUUGUAAAGUACUUUCAGCGGGGAGGAAGGGAGUAAAGUUAAUACCUGUGCUCAUUGACGUUACCCGCAGAAGAAGCACCGGCUAACUCCGUG
rnacentral:rRNA from 1 species